AUGAAUUAUAGAAGCUUGGUCUCUUCUGGACAUAGAAGCCUUGAAAGCCAGCACACUUCAUCUUCCAAUUAUUCGAAAGUUGUGGGUCUGUGGUUUAUAUUCAAGAUCUAAAGCAUACAAUUUGUUCAGCUGUUGAUGUCGUGCACGGUAUGGUGUCUUCCAUAUUCUCAGUGAUAUCAAGAACUCGAUCAUUAUUGUAGGUGGUGCUAAUAUGAGAGGGUGGACUAAGAAGAUGAGCGAUGAUGAGCUUGAGAUAGUGAGGAAUGCCGGUGGUGUGCUGCUUCAAAGAGAGAUCCCAGACUCAAUCAACAUUCAAGUUGUUAAAGUUCGUAUCAAGUUUUUAAAUUUAUUUGAUUCUAA